rnacentral:rRNA from 1 species
CGACAGCAAUAUGAAGGUCAGGCUGAAGACCUUACCCGAUUAGCUGAGAGGUGGUGCAUGGCCGUCGUCAGUUCGUACUGUGAAGCAUCCUGUUAAGUCAGGCAACGAGCGAGACCCACGUCCACAGUUGCCAGCAUACCCUCCGGGGUGAUGGGUACACUGUGGAGACCACCGCUGCUAAAGCGGAGGAAGGAGUGGGCAACGGUAGGUCAGUAUGCCCCGAAUCUCCCGGGCUACACGCGGGCUACAAUGGUUGGUACAAUGGGCAUCUACCCCGAAAGGGGAAGGAAAUCUCUUAAAGCCAAUCGUAGUUCGGAUUGAGGGCUGCAACUCGCCCUCAUGAAGCUGGAAUCCGUAGUAAUCGCGUUUCAACAGAACGCGGUGAAUACGUCCCUGCUCCUU